AGCGACGCCGCGUGAGGGAUGACGGCCUUCGGGUUGUAAACCUCUUUCGCUCAUGGUCAAGCCGCAACUUUGGGUUGUGGUGAGGGUAGUGGGUAAAGAAGCACCGGCUAACUACGUGCCAGCAGCCGCGGUAAUACGUAGGGUGCGAGCGUUGUCCGGAAUUAUUGGGCGUAAAGGGCUUGUAGGCGGUUUGUCGCGUCUGCCGUGAAAUCCUCUGGCUUAACUGGGGGCGUGCGGUGGGUACGGGCAGGCUUGAGUGCGGUAGGGGAGACUGGAACUCCUGGUGUAGCGGUGGAAUGCGCAGAUAUCAGGAAGAACACCGGUGGCGAAGGCGGGUCUCUGGGCCGUUACUGACGCUGAGGAGCGAAAGCGUGGGGAGCGAACA
rnacentral:rRNA from 1 species